GGUCUCAAGCGUUGUUCGGAUUCAUUGGGCGUAAAGGGUGCGUAGGCGGGUCUUUAAGUCAGGGGUGAAAUCCUGGAGCUCAACUCCAGAACUGCCUUUGAUACUGAAGAUCUUGAGUCCGGGAGAGGUGAGUGGAACUGCGAGUGUAGAGGUGAAAUUCGUAGAUAUUCGCAAGAACACCAGUGGCGAAGGCGGCUCACUGGCCCGGUACUGACGCUGAGGCACGAAAGCGUGGGGAGCAAACAGG
rnacentral:rRNA from 1 species